rfam:Aspergillus fumigatus Af293 chromosome 1, whole genome shotgun sequence.
UCAUAUGAUGAAUAAGAGCUUUGCUCGAUAUAACCCAGCUCGUCGAACAGCCUCAUCUUUAAUUACAACGCAGAGGCUGUCAUGAGAUCAUGUCCUAUCUGAUUCA